UAGAAACAUGAAAAGGAAGCA
rnacentral:piRNA from 1 species